rnacentral:rRNA from 1 species
AUUGAACGCUGGCGGCAGGCUUUACACAUGCAAGUCGAACGGUUACAGGCCGCAAGCUGCUGGCUAGAGGCGCAGGGGGGAGUAAUACAUCUGAACAUGCCCAUGCGAGGGGGGUAACUACUCGAGAGAGUGGCGAUUAUCGCACAUGAUCUCUGGGUGAGAAAGGGGGACCGUAAGGCCCCGCGCGAUUGCAGCGGCCUCUGUCGGAUUAGGUAGUUGGUGGGGUAAAGGCUCACCAAGCCAACGAUCUGUAGCUGGUCUGAGAGGACGACCAGUCACACUGGAACUGAGACACGGUCCAGACUCCUACGGGAGGCAGCAGUGGGGAAUUUUGGACAAUGGGCGAAAGCCUGAUCCAGCAAUGCCGCGUGUGUGAAGAAGGUCUUCGGAUUGUAAAGUACUUUUAGUUGGGAGGAAGGGGAUUUAGUUAAUACCUUGGGGUAUUGACGGUACCAACAGAAUAAGCACCGGCUAACUACGUG